rnacentral:rRNA from 1 species
AACGAACGCUGGCGGCAUGCCUAACACAUGCAAGUCGAACGAGACCUUCGGGUCUAUUGGCGCACGGGUGCGUAACGCGUGGGAACCUGCCCUUAGGUUCGGAAUAACUCCCCGAAAGGGGUGCUAAUACCGGAUAAUGUCUUCGGACCAAAGAUUUAUCGCCUUUGGAUGGGCCCGCGUUGGAUUAGCUAGUUGGUAGGGUAAAAGCCUACCAAGGCGACGAUCCAUAGCUGGUCUGAGAGGAUGACUAGCCACACUGAGACUGAGACACGGCCCAGACUCCUACGGGAGGCAGCAGUGGGGAAUAUUGGACAAUGGGCGGAAGCCUGAUCCAGCAAUGCCGCGUAAGUGAUGAAGGCAUUAGGGUUGUAAAGCUCUUUUACCCGGGAUGAUAAUGACAGUACCGGAAGAAUAAGCGCCGGCUAACUCCGUG